GCCGGGUAUGGUGGUGCGCACCUGUAGUCCCAACUACUUUGGAGGCUGAGGCAAGAGGAUUGCUUGAGUCCAGGAGGUCGAGGCUUCAGUGAGCUAUUAUUGUGCCACUGCAUUCCAGCCUGGGCAACAGAACAAGACUCUGUCUCUU
ensembl:misc_RNA Metazoa_SRP Metazoan signal recognition particle RNA